rnacentral:lncRNA from 1 species
GAAGACUCUGAGUACAGAAAGCCCAUUUAUAAGAGAAAUAAAGUUUGCCCACAGAUAACAUAACCAAAGUUCUUCAGGAUGAACUCUGCUCAUUCACAGCCACUACGAGGAGUUCCCUUUUGCUUUGAGUUUCAGUUUCAGUUCUGCUGUUGAGGAACCUGUUUGAGCAAUGAGCAAGCACCUCCUUGGGCUCCCUGGGAGGCACUGCUAGAAAGAUGCUCUGCUGCUGCAGGCAGUGCUUCUGUAGCAUCACUCGUGACAAUGUGCUACUGUUGCCUUGAAGGGAUGCCAGCUUCAGUGUCAAAAAGAUAAGGAUUUUAUUCCUGAGGAACUUUCAAUGAGAGCACACUGCAGUCCUCCACAGAUCUGUCUGUACUUGACUUUCUGGAGCCUCAUGGAAAAGAUUUACAGAACAAAUGCUUUACUACCUGUUUGAAAAUGUCUCUGGGACAGAUCUUUGGUAUAACUCCAGAACCAGUAUUUCCUGAAGCUAAUGCACUACUCAUCUAACACCACUGAGUGGCAGAUAGCAAUGAACAACUCUGUAUGCAACAUUGUAUUUGACCAAGGAGAAACUGAUGAAUCUUCACUGUGUUCAACAAGCUAUGAAAUUUCUAGUCCAGUGCCAGUGAAACUGGGACACUGCAGCAUCAUAAACUAUCACUAUGUUGAUAACACACAGGCUAUUAACCUUCCAAAACAUUCACCUCGGAGGCUAAACUUCGCAGUACUUCAGCUUCGAUUCUGA